UGAGAAGCAAAUACAUAUCAAAGCUCACUUUCCUCAUGGGUAGAAAGCUAUUUGACUAACAGAUUUCAGCGGUGCCUUGGUGACAAGAAAAGAAAAAACCCUCCAAGGAUUCUGGAGGAAGUUGAAAGGCAGGAGGUCAGGCUUCCACCUGCAGGUAGAAUGAGUGUUUGCCAUUUCCUCAAAUUCCUUGAGACCACCCACUGGCAUGAAGGAUGGUGAGCAAAGCCUGGGGAAUGAAGACUAUCUUUCAAAAGGUGCUUCCUGGGAGAUUUAAGGGAGAAAAAGAAAAUAAUUUGUUGGUUUGUAUGUCAGCUAGCAAGGCUUUUGAUCAUUCAGUUGGGACAGUUCUGCCUGGAAGGGAUCAAUCUCUUUUUAUUCCAAAGACUAACACCAACAGAUACAAAUCAAAGGAGGUAUUCUUUCAACAAAGGAAAUUGCAGAAAGGAUGCCUAGGCUUAAUUAAAAUAUAACCUUUUGUUUUAAGGACUUUUCUUUCCCUUGCAAAAGGGAAUGCACUCUCUGAAGAAGCAUAUGCCAGCACUGGUGAGAUACAGUUCUUCAACAAGUAAGGAUCUGUCUACAUUCGGGGCACGUCUUGGGGAAGCCUUGAAGGGAAUCGUGCCUGGAGUCCCAUCUGACUUAACUCAUCAUCACAGUCCUUCAUCACAACAUAAUGAGUGUUAUUACUUCCUCAUGUGGCCUGUGGGCUUUGUUAAUUAAAGAAUGGAAAGUUCAAAGAUGGAAAUCGUCAGAGGCUUCCAAGAUGGCUGAAUAGGAACAGCUCCAGUCCGCAGCUCCCAGCAAGAUUGAUGCAGAAGGCGGAUGAUUUCUGCAUUUCCAACUAAGUGCCAUGACUUAAGGAGUGAAGAGAGGGCAUAGAGAACAAGCAGAGUAUGCAGGGCAUAUGCUGAGAUAAGAAACUGGAUCUGAAACAAGUUGAAUACUUGCAGAAUCCUCUCCUUGUGGGGGCUGAGUGCUGUCUGGUGCUAAACGUUUCCAGCCAGGGAACUUCUAACCUCUCUCUGGAGACACUCCUGAAUACAUUAGUAAGUUGGAUUCUUCUCUUUCUUUUCACCUCACUGCCAC
rnacentral:lncRNA from 1 species